rnacentral:lncRNA from 1 species
GCGAGAUGUAACCGGCUGCUGAGCUGGCAGUUCUGUGUCGCUAGGCUUCGGCCCGGCCGCCGCCACACAUAAGCUGCGAUGAGGAGCUUUACGACUUCCCGGUCUUCGGGGCCGGGCGCAGCAAGGGCCAGACUCUGCGCUAGCAGGCGCUGCGCGCCAACCGGCCGGCACCUGUCGCAGAAGGUGCAACCGAUCGCACUGUCGCGCAGAAGCUCCUCAAUGGCCAGCACCAGCUGCAGCCCCGGCCGCCCACUCGCCUCACUUGAGCCUGUCUGGCAGCCUGCUAUCAAUUAUAUUGAUAGUAAAUUUGAGGACUACCUAAAUGCAGAAUCGCGAGUGAACAGAUGUCAGAUGCCUGGUAACAGGGUGCAGUGUUGUUUAUACUUCAUUGCUCCUUCAGGACAUGGGUGGCAGACAAGAAACAUGGAUUAUUGCGUGGAGUUCCAUUAGUAGGAAUAAGACUCAUUCUACAUUCUUGUUGUUCUUAGUGUUUUUUGUUUUUCAUGAGAAGGAAUUGUAUCAGCACAAGGCAAUAUUCUAACAUGACAAUGACAGCAGACAGAACCUCAAUAAACUCUGACUUGGUACUGCAAA